rnacentral:rRNA from 1 species
UUUGAUCCUGGCUCAGAUUGAACGCUGGCGGCAUGCCUUACACAUGCAAGUCGAACGGCAGCGCGGGAGCAAUCCUGGCGGCGAGUGGCGAACGGGUGAGUAAUACAUCGGAACGUGCCCAAUCGUGGGGGAUAACGCAGCGAAAGCUGUGCUAAUACCGCAUACGAUCUACGGAUGAAAGCAGGGGAUCGCAAGACCUUGCGCGAAUGGAGCGGCCGAUGGCAGAUUAGGUAGUUGGUGAGGUAAAGGCUCACCAAGCCUUCGAUCUGUAGCUGGUCUGAGAGGACGACCAGCCACACUGGGACUGAGACACGGCCCAGACUCCUACGGGGGGCAGCAGUGGGGAAUUUUGGACAAUGGGCGAAAGCCUGAUCCAGCCAUGCCGCGUGCAGGAUGAAGGCCUUCGGGUUGUAAACUGCUUUUGUACGGAACGAAACGGCCUUUUCUAAUAAAGAGGGCUUAUGACGGUACCGUAAGAAUAAGCACCGGCUAACUACGUGCCAGCAGCCGCGGUAAUACGUAGGGUGCAAGCGUUAAUCGGAAUUACUGGGCGUAAAGCGUGCGCAGGCGGUUAUGUAAGACAGUUGUGAAAUCCCCGGGCUCAACCUGGGAACUGCAUCUGUGACUGCAUAGCUAGAGUACGGUAGAGGGGGAUGGAAUUCCGCGUGUAGCAGUGAAAUGCGUAGAUAUGCGGAGGAACACCGAUGGCGAAGGCAAUCCCCUGGACCUGUACUGACGCUCAUGCACGAAAGCGUGGGGAGCAAACAGGAUUAGAUACCCUGGUAGUCCACGCCCUAAACGAUGUCAACUGGUUGUUGGGUCUUCACUGACUCAGUAACGAAGCUAACGCGUGAAGUUGACCGCCUGGGGAGUACGGCCGCAAGGUUGGAACUCAAAGGAAUUGACGGGGACCCGCACAAGCGGUGGAUGAUGUGGUUUAAUUCGAUGCAACGCGAAAAACCUUACCCACCUUUGACAUGUACGGAAUUCGCCAGAGAUGGCUUAGUGCUCGAAAGAGAACCGUAACACAGGUGCUGCAUGGCUGUCGUCAGCUCGUGUCGUGAGAUGUUGGGUUAAGUCCCGCAACGAGCGCAACCCUUGUCAUUAGUUGCUACAUUCAGUUGGGCACUCUAAUGAGACUGCCGGUGACAAACCGGAGGAAGGUGGGGAUGACGUCAAGUCCUCAUGGCCCUUAUAGGUGGGGCUACACACGUCAUACAAUGGCUGGUACAAAGGGUUGCCAACCCGCGAGGGGGAGCUAAUCCCAUAAAACCAGUCGUAGUCCGGAUCGCAGUCUGCAACUCGACUGCGUGAAGUCGGAAUCGCUAGUAAUCGUGGAUCAGAAUGUCACGGUGAAUACGUUCCCGGGUCUUGUACACACCGCCCGUCACACCAUGGGAGCGGGUUCUGCCAGAAGUAGUUAGCUUAACCGCAAGGAGGGCGAUUACCACGGCAGGGUUCGUGACUGGGGUGAAGUCGUAACAAGGUAA